AUUUUCUUACCUUUUGGUGAGUUGAUGUAUUCCAGUAAUUGAGAAACCAUAGGUAAACUAAUCAUAUGGAUUCCAGCAUUAUGAGAACAAAAAUACCUACGAAUAAAUUUUGUUCAAUAAUAGAAUAUUUGUGUUUAAAAUUAUUUUUUCGAUAUUCAAUAUUAAAUGAUAAAUGUUCGAUACAUUUUAUUUGAUAAACGACAAUUAUUAAUAAAUUUUACAACAAGAAA